UACGUAGGGUGCGAGCAUUGUCCGGAAUUAUUGGGCGUAAAGAGCUCGUAGGCGGCCUGUCGCGUCGGAUGUGAAAGCCCGGGGCUUAACCCCGGGUCUGCAUUCGAUACGGGCAGGCGUGGAGUUCGGUGAGGGGAGAUCGGAAUUCCUGGUGUAGCGGUGAAAUGCGCAGAUAUCAGGAGGAACACCCGUAGCGAAGGCGGCACUCUGGGCCGGAACUGACGCUGAGGAGCGAAAGCGUGGGGAGCGAACAGG
rnacentral:rRNA from 1 species